AUAUUUCUGUCUUCAGUUCAGUGUGAUCCUGUGUAGCUCCUGACUAUACCUUCAGUCUCCUGUUCCAGUUAUCCUAUGGAUUUUUGCUAUCACCUGCUUUGUUGAUUUGGUCACCCCAGUCUCCUGUUCAGGGCUACCCUGUGCAACUUUUCUGUUCUCCUACAUUGGCUGUUCCUUCUGACCAUGCUAUGGAACGCUUGGUCUCCAAGCCAUUUUCCACUCUUAUAACAGACCGAUGGCUCGGAUAGCUGAAUUAUCUGUGGCUGUCCGUUUCAUGUUAAAAUAUGCAGAAGAUGGGGGAUGGGUCUGGUGAGCCAUAGUACUGUUUUUCUGUCCUGGAGGACUUUGGUAUCACUGUCCCUGACCAGUUGAUCUCCUUGGACUCUCACUUAACAUACCGGCCCAAUCUUCUGGGAUGUUUUGGGUCACCUUCGCUGCAAUAGCUUUCACCUGGUUGAACGUUUUAUUUUUAUGGUUUUGUAUUCUGUUUUGAUUUGAGUGCGCAUGCGUUGCUAUUGGUUUUUCCUUACUCUGGUAUGGCUAUUAUCUGUACGUUAUGCUCUUAUAUUUUACUUGAAUGUUUAUAUACGGUCCAUUCCUGUUUACGUAUGUGUGAAUUUUCCCAGUAUGUAUAGUUUUCUCCCAAUAUUUUUGAUUAUAUUUUUAGAGAUAUAUAUUUGUAUAGAUUUAUAUUUUUUUGUAUAUAGUGUAUAUUUUAUUUUUCUAUUUUAUUAUAUAUUUUAUAUAUUAUUUUAGAUUUAUAUAGACUGUAAGCUCCUGCGGGGCAGGGACUGAUAUGGAUGACAUGUGUUCUAUAUACAGCACUGCACUUAUUUGUGGUACUAUAUAAAGAAACAAUAAUAAAUAUGCAUGUAUAUCAGGAACAUAUUAUCGCGCCUCUAAUUUUUUUUUUCAGGUGGACCAUCUCCACGAUUGAAUUGUGAGGUCAUCAGCCGCCAUCCUUCAUCUCUGGGCUUCUGCGCGGUCAUCUUUACUACAAAGCAUACUCUGAAGAUAGAACCGCAGGAAUAGUCGACCCAAGACAGGUGGACCAUCUCCACGAUUGAAUUGUGAGGUCAUCAGCCGCCAUCCUUCAUCUCUGGGCUUCUGCGCGGUCAUCUUUACUACAAAGCAUACUCUGAAGAUAGAACCGCAGGAAUAGUUGACCCAAGACAGGUGUCUAUUUUUUUUUUAUUCCCAUUAUAUUUGGAGUGCCAAAUUAGACCAUUUUUUGUUUAAUUUUCCAAAGAAGUGUUCCUUUAUUUUCUGAGCAGGUGUCUCUAUUGUUUUUUGUUCCCAUUAUAUUUGGAGUGCCAAAGUAGGCCAUUUUUCAGUUUAAUUUUCCAAAGAAGUGUUCCUUUA